UCGCGCCUACGGGGCGCAGCAGUAGGGAAUUUUGCGCAAUGGGGGAAACCCUGACGCAGCAACGCCGCGUGAUUGAUGAAGCCCUUCGGGGUGUAAAGAUCUGUCAGUGGGGACGAAACUUGACGGUACCCUCAGAGGAAGCAUCGGCUAACUCCGUGCCAGCAGCCGCGGUAAUACGGGGGAUGCAAGCGUUGUCCGGAAUCAUUGGGCGUAAAGAGUUCGUAGGUGGCACGUUAAGUCUGGUGUUAAAUGCAGAGGCUCAACCUCUGUUCGGCACUGGAUACUGGCGAGCUUGAAUGCGGUAG
rnacentral:rRNA from 1 species